rnacentral:rRNA from 1 species
UACGUAGGUGGCAAGCGUUGUCCGGAUUUAUUGGGCUUAAAGGGUGCGUAGGCGGUCUAUUAAGUCAGUGGUGAAAUACUCCAGCUUAACUGGAGGGGUGCCAUUGAUACUGAUGGACUUGAGUGAAGUCGAGGUAGGCGGAAUUGACGGGGUAGCGGUGAAAUGCUUAGAUAUCGUCAAGAACACCAAUAGUGAAGACAGCUUACUAGGCUUAUACUGACGCUGAGGCACGAAAGUGUGGGGAUCAAACAGG